CCUACGGGAGGCAGCAGUGAGGAAUAUUGGUCAAUGGACGAGAGUCUGAACCAGCCAAGUAGCGUGAAGGAUGACUGCCCUAUGGGUUGUAAACUUCUUUUAUAUGGGAAUAACAUGUUCCACGUGUGGGAUUUUGUAUGUACCAUAUGAAUAAGGAUCGGCUAACUCCGUGCCAGCAGCCGCGGUAAUACGGAGGAUCCGAGCGUUAUACGGAUGUAUUGGGUUUAAAGGGAGCGUAGGUGGAUUGUUAAGUCAGUUGUGAAAGUUUGCGGCUCAACCGUAAAAUUGCAGUUGAAACUGGCAGUCUUGAGUACAGGAGAGGUAGACGGAAUUCGUGGUGUAGCGGUGAAAUGCUUAGAUAUCACGAAGAACUCCGGUUGCGAAGGCAGUUCACUGGACUGCAACUGACACUGAGGCGCGAAAGUGUGGGUAUCAAACAGGAUUAGAUACCCGAGUAGUC
rnacentral:rRNA from 1 species